rnacentral:rRNA from 1 species
GUAGGUGGCAAGCGUUGUCCGGAAUUAUUGGGCGUAAAGCGCGCGCAGGCGGUCCUUUAAGUCUGAUGUGAAAGCCCACGGCUCAACCGUGGAGGGUCAUUGGAAACUGGGGGACUUGAGUACAGAAGAGGAAAGCGGAAUUCCAAGUGUAGCGGUGAAAUGCGUAGAGAUUUGGAGGAACACCAGUGGCGAAGGCGGCUUUCUGGUCUGUAACUGACGCUGAGGCGCGAAAGCGUGGGGAGCAAACAGGGAUUAGAUACCCUGGUAGUCCACGCCGUAAACGAUGAGUGCUAAGUGUUAGGGGGUUUCCCGCCCCUUAGUGCUGCAGCUAACGCAUUAAGCACGUCCGCCUGGGGAGUACGGCCGCAAGGCUG